GGAGUGACCCAAAAGCUCACUAAAAGGGCAUGUUGGCUUCUCCUCAGAGGGCGUUGCUGCUACGGUACAGCAAUGGAAUUUGUUUCUGAGCUGAGAUCACUCCCGUAAUUUACAUCCCAACUCUUCUGAUACAGAAAAGCCUAGAAGGAAGUUGGUGUGAAAUAAAAAUAGUUUGAUUGGUAGAAUCAAAUUAUAAUCUCUGUAUAAAGGCUAAACAUUUGCAUGGGGGAAAUGUUGCUUGAAAUAGGAUACAAAGGAAUGUCCACCAAUAGAGAAAUUAUUAAAUGUUAUAAUAACCUGUAGGGUAGACUAUUAGGUAGUUAUUAAAAAUCAUGUUUUUCAAGUUUUAGAAAAAUUUUAAAACAUGGGAAAAUGCUGGUAAUACAAUGUUUAAUUUUAAAAGUGCAUGCUAUGAAACUUUAUGCAGUUGAGUGCUUACAAAAUAGUAUUUCUGCAUAAAGAAAAAAAGAAGGAAAAGUGGUUAAAAUGUUAACAGUGGUUCUCUCUGGGUGAUGAGGAAAUUGGUGAUUUUAUUUUUCAUGCAUUUCUGUUGACACAACAAUUUUCCGUCAAAAACAUCAUUGCUUUUAUAAUUCCCCAAAGGAACUGUUUUUAAAACUGUAGUUUGAAAAUCAUUUAGGAGGGAAGACAGCCAAGGAAGGGUUCCUGUUUGACAAGCAAUCAGGCAAGCAGGCCGUAAGCAGCCUGGGCUUGGAUUUUGGAGUUUUUUUUCUCCCACCUUUUCCCCAGAUAUCAAAUGUCAGGCCUCCACACCAUUAAAAGGACCUAGAACCAUCAACUUCUCCAAGACUGGGUAACAAAAGUCAACUCUUUCCUGCUCCUAACUCAAGGGGGUGUUGUGUGUUCUUAACUUUAUAAGAGAAACACAGAACUCUAGGGAGCUAUAGACACAAGCUAGCAACAAAGAUGUGGCCCCUGUCUCCUCAGGCUGACCUGAACAAGUUGUGUGAUUCGCUGAGAGAAGGACUCUGCCCGCCUCCCUCAUACUGACCCCGCUGCUUUCCCCAACAUGGCAGGAGGCGAUGCAGCCUCGUGAUUAAGUCUGCAAACUGGGAAUCACACACUCCCAUUUGGAAUCUUUGCUUUUUUGCUUAACAGCUCUGUGGCUUCUGGCAAAUUCUGUAACUUCUUUACACCUCAGUUUUCUCAUGUGUAGAAAGGAGAUGAAGAACCCCACCUCACUGGGUUCCUCUGAAGAUUAAAUGGAAUAACUCCAUAGAGGAGAACAUGCAACAGUUACUGAAUCAAUGAUUUCAUUCUCAGGUUCUCUAAUUUUAUUUUCUUUUCAUCCUGCCUUAUGGCCAUAAUUCAGGUGAUAAAAUAAGAAAGGACAUGGCUGGCUGUGGUGGCUCUUGCCUGUAAUCCCAGAACUUUAGGAGGCCAAGAUGAGAAGAUUCCUUGAGGCCAGGAGUUCAAGACCAGCCUGAGCAACAUAGCUCAAAACAUUCUCUACAAAAAAAUGAAAAGAUUGCUGGGCAUGGUGGCAUGUGCCUGUAGUCUCAAUUACUUAGCAGUCUGAGGCAGAAGGAUC
rnacentral:lncRNA from 10 species